GGAUCUGGCUCAUGAAGCUAGCUGCCUUCUCCUUCCUGGAGCUUCAGAAUGAAAUUUAGAAGGUCGAAUGAAAUCCUAUUGCUGUUUUCAAAGGAAAAGAGGUGCCUGCAAAAGAAGGAAAUGGCCCAGAGCACGCACACAUGGAGUUCACCAAGGUUACACAGCCGAGGAGCGACAGGGUCAGGACUUGGAACCAGAGCGUGCGCUCCUAACCACCACGCUGCACUCACCCUCUGUCUUUGUCUCCAGGAUGGAUGAGACACAGCCGUGGCCCUCCAGGGGCACAGAGCCUCAGAAGCAAACAGAGAAGAGGACUGUAUUCAAAGGCCUCUGGGCCAACCCUUGAAUUUGGCCUCAUGUCAGA